rnacentral:rRNA from 1 species
ACUUUCAGUAGGGAGGAAGGUAGUGUAGUUAACACCUGCAUAUUUGACGUUACCUACAGAAGAAGCACCCGGCUAACUACCGUGCCAGCAGCCGCGGUAAUACGGAGGGUGCGAGCGUUAAUCGGAAUUACUGGGCGUAAAGACGCAUGCAGGCGGCCCGUGUUAAGUCAGAUGUGAAAGACCCGGGGCGUUAACCUCGGAAUUGCAUUUGAAACUGGCAGGCUAGAGUCUUGUAGAGGGGGGUAGGAAGUUUCAGGUGUAGCGGUGAAAUAGCGUAGAGAUCUGAAGGAAUACCAGUGGCGAAGGCGGCCCCCUCGGACAAAGACUGACGCUCAGAUGCGAAAGCGUGGGGAGCAAACAGGAUUAGAUACCCUGGUAG